GACGAACGCUGGCGGCGUGCUUAACACAUGCAAGUCGAACGGAAAGGCCCAGCUUUUGUGGGGUUCGCGAGUCGCAAGCGGGUGUGUAACACGUGUGUUCCCUGCCCUUCACUUGGGUAUGCCUUCGAAACAGUGGGGAUUAUAGCGGAGAAGAGCUCCUGGUUCUUGGUUGUGGAUAGAUAUUUUCGGCGGUUGGGGAUGGACUCGCGGCUUAUCAGCUUGUUGGGGGGGUAGUGGCUUACCAAGGCGUUGACGGGUAGCCGGCCUGAGAGGGUGACCGGCCACAUUGGGACUGAGAUACGGCCCAGACUCCUACGGGAGGCAGCAGUGGGGAAUAUUGCACAAUGGGCGGAAGCCUGAUGCAGCAACGCCGCGUGGGGGAUGACGGCCUUCGGGUUGUAAACCGCUUUCGCCUGUGACGAAGCGUGAGUGACGGUAACGGGAAAAGAAGCACCGGCUAACUACGUG
rnacentral:rRNA from 1 species